UAAGGAAUAUUGGACAAUGGGCGAAAGCCUGAUCCAGCCAUGCCGCGUGAGUGAUGAAGGCCUUCGGGUUGUAAAGCUCUUUUGGCGGGGAAGAUAAUGACUGUACCCGCAGAAUAAGCCCCGGCUAACUUCGUGCCAGCAGCCGCGGUAAUACGAAGGGGGCGAGCGUUGUUCGGAAUUACUGGGCGUAAAGCGUGUGUAGGUGGCUUGAUAAGUCUGAUGUGAAAGCCCAGGGCUCAACCUUGGAACUGCAUUGGAUACUAUCAGGCUAGAGUGGUGGAGAGGAAAGCAGAAUUCCCAGUGUAGAGGUGAAAUUCGUAGAUAUUGGGAGGAAUACCAAUGGCGCAGGCAGCUUUCUGGACACACACUGACACUGAGACACGACAGCGUGGGGAGCAAACAG
rnacentral:rRNA from 1 species